CAGAAUAAUUUAGUGGGGCGUUACAGCAGUGGCCAGCCGUUUUAGGAACGAGGUGUGAAAUAUUCUCGGCGCGUUCUCACUAGGGAGCUGCCUCUGUGACUGCCAUAGCUUGAGUGCGGCAGAGGAGGGAUGGUAAUACCUGCGUGUAGCUAGUGAAAUGCGUAGAUAUGCUGGAGGGAACACCGAUGGGGGCGAAGGCAAUCCUCCUCGGGGCCUGUACUGACGCUCAUGCACGAAAGCGUGGGGAGCAAACAAGGAUUUAGAUACCCUGGUAGUGCACGCCCCUAAAACGAUGUCAACUGGUUGUUGGGUCUUUCACUGACUCAAGUAACGAAGCUAACACGUGAAGUUGACCGCCUGGGGGAGUACGGCCGCAAGGUUGAAACUCAAAAGAAAUUGACGGGGACCCGCACAAGCGGUGGAUGAUGUGGUUUAAUUUGAUGCAACGCGAAAAACCUUACCCCACCUUUGACAUGUACGGAAUCCUUUAGAGAUAGAGGAGUGCUCGAAAGAGAGCCGUAACACAGGUGCUGCAUGGCUGUCGUCAGCUCGUGUCGUGAGAUGUUGGGUUAAGUCCCGCAACGAGCGCAACCCUUGUCAUUAGUUGUUACAUUCAGUUGGGCACUCUAAAUGAGACUGCCGGUGACAACCCGGAGGAAGGUGGGGGAGGACGUCAAGUCCUCAUGGCCCUUAUAGGUAAGGUACACACGUCAUACAUGGCUGGUACAAGGGUUGCCACCCGCCAGGGAGGGCAUCCCCUAAACCAUCGUAUUCCGGAUCGCAUUCUGCACUCGACUGCGUAAGUCGUAUCGCUAGUAAUCGCGGAUCAAAUGUCGCGGUGAAUACGUUCUCCCGUCUUGUACACCCGCCCGUCCCCCCUCGACAGUUUGCCGCAGUAGUUAGCCUACCGUAGGAGGGCGAUUACCCUGCGGGUUCGUUACUGGGGUAAUCGUAACUAAUACACCAAACUGUUCGCUCUGCUGAUUCGUAUUUUCAACUGGAUUC
rnacentral:rRNA from 1 species